rnacentral:rRNA from 1 species
UACGUAGGGUGCGAGCGUUGUCCGGAAUUAUUGGGCGUAAAGAGCUUGUAGGCGGUUUGUCGCGUCUGCUGUGAAAAUCCGGGGCUCAACCCCGGACUUGCAGUGGGUACGGGCAGACUAGAGUGUGGUAGGGGAGACUGGAAUUCCUGGUGUAGCGGUGGAAUGCGCAGAUAUCAGGAGGAACACCGAUGGCGAAGGCAGGUCGCUGGGACGGUACUGACGCUGAGACGCGAAAGCGUGGGGAGCGAACAGG